rnacentral:pre_miRNA from 1 species
CAUACCCUGAAUUUUCGUGUUUAACGUUUAACGUUUGACUGUUCGUCUUAUAUGAAAUUAUUUUAUAAUUAGUAUUUUCAUUAUUGUGAUAAAACAUUGUUAAUACUUUAUGCGUGACUUGUCUUUUUAAUUUUUUCAUAAUUUUUUUGAAAUAAAAUGGACGGUCAAACGUUAGACACGGAAAUCUAGGGUU